UAAGACGAACCGUGCGAACGUUGUUCGGAUUCACUGGGCUUAAAGGGCGCGUAGGCGGCGCGACAAGUCGGGGGUGAAAUCUUCCGGCCCAACCGGAAAAGGGCCCCCGAUACUGGCGUGCUGGAGGGAGGUAGGGGCGCGCGGAACUUCCGGUGGAGCGGUGAAAUGCGUAGAUAUCGGAAGGAACGCCGGUGGCGAAAGCGGCGCGCUGGACCUCACCUGACGCUGAGGCGCGAAAGCCAGGGGAGCGAACGGGAUUAGAUACCCCGGUAGUCCUGGCCCUAAACGAUGGGUACUAGGUAGUGGACUUGACAUGGGUUCACUGCCGGAGCAAAAGUGUUAAGUACCCCGCCUGGGGAGUAUGGUCGCAAGGCUG
rnacentral:rRNA from 1 species